GGCCUGAUGGUCUAGUAGUAUGAUUCCUUGUUAGGGCUAUUGCAGCGUAUCGAGGAGGUCCCGGGUUCAAUUCCCGGUCAGGCCC